rnacentral:rRNA from 1 species
ACGAACGCUGGCGGCGUGCUUAACCCCUGCAAGUCGAACGGAAAGGCCCUGCUUUUGUGGGGUGCUCGAGUGGCGAACGGGUGAGUAACACGUGAGUAACCUGCCCUUGACUUUGGGAUAACUUCAGGAAACUGGGGCUAAUACCGGAUAGGAGCUCCUGCUGCAUGGUGGGGGUUGGAAAGUUUCGGCGGUUGGGGAUGGACUCGCGGCUUAUCAGCUUGUUGGUGGGGUAGUGGCUUACCAAGGCUUUGACGGGUAGCCGGCCUGAGAGGGUGACCGGCCACAUUGGGACUGAGAUACGGCCCAGACGCCUACGGGAGGCAGCAGUGGGGAAUAUUGCACAAUGGGCGGAAGCCUGAUGCAGCAACGCCGCGUGGGGGAUGACGGCCUUCGGGUUGUAGACCGCUUUCGCCUGUGACGAAGCGUGAGUGACGGUAAUGGGUAAAGAAGCACCGGCUAACUACGUG